GACGUAGGGCGCGAGCGUUGUCCGGAUUUAUUGGGCGUAAAGAGCUCGUAGGCGGCUUGUCGCGUCAACUGUGAAAACCCGUGGCUCAACCAUGUGGUCUGCAGUCGAUACGGGCAGGCUAGAAUUCGGUAGGGGAGACUGGAAUUCCUGGUGUAGCGGUGAAAUGCGCAGAUAUCAGGAGGAACACCGGUGGCGAAGGCGGGUCUCUGGGGCCGAUACUGACGUGAGGAGCGAAAAGCGUGGGGGAGCGAACAGG
rnacentral:rRNA from 1 species